CUUUUCGUUCGAAGUCCUUGACCUUUAAAUUAUUAGAUUGACGAUCGAAAUCCGAAGAGGAAUUUCAUAAGAUAAAAAAAAAAUCCAGUGUAAAAGGAUGUGCAUGGAGAGGGAUUAAGAGUAUUGAUAAACUAUGUGCAGGCUACAAAAUGAUACAGAAUCCUUCUGAGCUGAAGUGAUUUGACGGAAAGAUGUUGACACUCAACCUUUUGAACGUACAGACUGUGCUGGUGGCCCUUACCGUGGGGCUGCUUGUCUACUUCAUCAGGAGGAGGUUCAUCUACCGGCUACCUCCGGGACCAUGGGCCAUCCCUCUGAUUGGAAACUUUGAAGUAUACACUAAACCUUUACUACACAGAGUAGUUCUACAACUGUCGAAGAAGUAUGGUCCAGUAACUCUGUUUUCUUUUGGGCCUAUCCGAACCGUCUUUCUAAACAACUAUGAGGUUGUAAUGGAAGCCAUGGUGAAAAGAAAGGCGGAUUUUGCUGGACGCCCGGCUUCAGUAACGUUCUCUUUGGUCAGCGAGGGAUAUAAGGACAUAGCUGUGGCGUCCUACUCUCCUAUGUGGCAGUAUCACCGACGUGUAGCCAUGAAAGCUUUAAGGUACAUUUACACAGCUAAAUGGAAAUGCAAUCUGAAUUAUUUUUUCAAAGAUCAUGUAAUUUGGGACCAUAUCAACCCACUUUGAAAACAAAUUUUCAAAGUGUGUAAAAAUUGGUACCAAGUCAAGUGAACGCAGUUUGGAAAAAAGAUUCAAAAGGCGCCAUGAAGGAGCAUCAACAUAUUUUUUAUGAAUACACUUUACGCACUUUGAAAAAAAUAAUGUUUAAAUCACAAUUCAAAUUAGAUGAUAGAAUGGUGAUUUGAAAACACUAAUGAAUAUGAUUAACCGUCUUUGAGAAAAAGGAGGAAACAUCCAAAGAUACAGUUCAAACACUAAUGCAUGAUUCAAUUAAUUACAGGAAGAAAGUACCCACCCCUCAUCUUUCCUUCUCGAACAUAAAAUUAUAGGACCCCGCUCCACGGGCGACCUAUUGUAAUAAGUCUGUCCGGCCGGCCGGCUGUGAAAAUAAAGAUAUUAAGAAAAAUUCACCUAUAAAUCUUUAUUUUUAUGCUUAAAAUACGACUGGUCCUAUAAUCUCCCACCCAAUCCGUUUCACCCCCUCCAUGUAAAAAAUGCAACAUUCAAUAAAUGUCUGUAAGAAUACGCCUAUAAAGUUAUUAUGUAAUUAAAAUAAUUCUUGCAUGUUAGAAGUGAAUAGCACUAGGUUGGUUUGAAUUCCAGAAAUUAUCAACAAGGAGAUCUGCUUGAGAAACUAACACAAGAUAAUAUGACAAAAGUGAUGAACAUGAUGGCGACAGAGAAGGGACCCAUUGCAAUGAAAUCUCACCUUAACAAUAUCGUCUUCUACCAGCUUUAUACCCUCUGUUUUGGAGAAAAGUGGGUGUAUACUAUUGCUUUGAGAAGAAAACGUUGCUUUUUAGCAUUAUAUACUAGAACUAGAAUGUGCAUGUCUUCUGUGAAAUUCAUUCAGUUGCUCACAAUCAGCUAACACGCACAAGUUGUUUAUGAUGAAUGAUAAAAGCCUCUCUUAAUUUCUCUGAAGUAAGGAGAUUGGUGACCCUGAUGUAGAGUUCCUGCUCCGAGAAAAAGACCUAAUAAACAAAACUGUAGGGAACGGUCUCCGAGAGGAUAUGCUUCCGUUCCUGAAGGACGUGUACCCGUCCGGACGUUACGUCAUCAUCAAAGAAGCUGCGGAUAGAGUGUUUUCAUUCCUUCAUAAACUCUUACACGAACACCAGGAAACGUUUGAUCCAAAUAACAUCCGGGAUUUUACCGAUCACCUUCUAGUAGCCAGAUCUGAGGCGGAAAAAUCUGGAGACGACGAAUCCCUUGAGAAAUUAAAUGAUACUUAUCUUGUACAAACCGUUUCGGAUAUCUUUUUUGCUGGUGUAGAUACGACGAGACUGACCCUAGAAUGGUUCUUGUGCUUCAUGUCUGGACUUCCGGAAAUACAGGCAAAAUGUCAGGCGGAGAUCGACAAAAAAAUUGGUAGGCGUUGUCCAUCUAUCGCCGACAGACAGUCGUUGCCUUACACCGAGGCCUGCAUCUAUGAGACAAUGAGGGCGGGAGUAAUAGCAGGCCUGGGUUUGCCACAUCUUACCAUCUGCGAUACACACGUUGGUGGGUACGACAUUCCAAAAGACACGGUUGUCCUAAUCAACCAUUUUGCUCUCCAUCGUGACACUAAAUAUUGGAAAGAUCCCGAGAAAUUUGAUCCGCUCCGUUACUUGGAUGAAGAUGGUAAAAUGGAUCCUACAAAACUGGACAGUUGGCUACCAUUUUCUGCUGGAAGGAGAGUAUGCCUUGGAGAAUCUAUAGCAAAGUCGGAAAUUUUAAUGAUGUGCGUCCAUCUUCUUCAAUGGUUUGAAAUAUCACUUCCGGAAGGCACCAAACCGAACUUUGUAGGUGUGCAACGUGAUUUUUUUGGAACCGAAUGUCCCGCCGACUUACGAAUUAUCGUAAAGAAAAGAUUCAAAUAAAAAUAUCAAUGACGUUCCUCUUCUUAUAAAAAAUUCAGAUAUUUAUCU
rnacentral:misc_RNA from 1 species